ensembl:lincRNA
GUUGGGAGAGACCAGUGUCCUAAGUCCUGUGGGGACAUACUGAGUUUAUCCCGAAGCAGAAAGGAAGCAGUGCUGGGUUUUGAUAACGAGUAGGCAACUUUGUCCUGAACCCAAGACCUGAGACAGAGCUCUGAAAAUUUCCAAGGGCAUUGUCCAGAACAGUAAGCACCAAGUCCUUGCACUAUCAGACCCUCCCGGGACAGUCUUGCCAGCAGGCCUGGGCCACACCAGAGGCGGAAGAGGCGGGUCAUCAGCUGCUCACUUCUCUCCAGCCCUGGAAGCCAGAAGCUGGGGGCUGGAGAGAGGGAAGACACUCUAAACUGGAUGGAAACCUUUCAAAGGUUUGACAUGACAACUCACAGGAUUUUUUAAUUAUUAAAAUGAGACUGAUCUUGGGACUACAUGCGGCUGGAGGGCUUUCAGUUAUCUGGGAAUGAUGGACCAAAAAAAAAAACAAACCAACCAUACAACGACGGGACUUUCCUCAAUUCAUUCAGGACAAGUCAACAAAGAAGCGUAAAGGGAGUUACAGGGCAUGUUGUUGCUUCCUGCUUCUCUGAUUCUCCCUGUGUGCUAGAAGAUAUUUGCCUUUCAGAUGGGUUUUUCUGGCAUUGGUGAGGGGAGAUGAUCAACAGCAGGAGGGUGAGCUGAGAGACAAGCCGGGAAUGGCCUGGCAGGUUGCACUGAUCAUCCACACCACAGCGCUGCUCCGGAUUUUCCCAAGAGCACAGCCAACCCCGUUGCCUGGCCCCAAAGGCCUCUUGGAGUCAGGGAAGAGAGGUGCCCCGCAGAACUGCACAAUCUCUGGGGCAGAGGAAAGUACGCUACGUCUGGCAGGCCAUGAAGAAGCACAGGGGGCGUUACCCACUCACGGCUGCACAGCCUGCUUAGCCAGGCCUGCCCAGGGCCCUCUCCACUUGAGAACAAGACAUUCUUUUAUCCUGGAAUCACCACCAGGAGUCCCCCGGAGGAGCAUCCUCAUGACAGCAGUUCCAUGGGCAGGGACAGGGUCCUUUCUGCUGGCACAGCGUCCACCACUGCCCUGUCUCCUGAGUCCCUGCGGGGCCCAGCAAAGAAGGAGUGUGUGUGAUGUCUGCAGAGCCGUGACAGACCCAGCAUGCGGCGGCAGGAGAAACCUUUCGUUGGUAAAAGCAAUACAACCCUUAUCAAGUUUCGGCUGCUUCCUCCUGUGGGAGGGAGGGCAGGGAGACGCACCAGCUCCUGAGAAACUGGGUGCCUCCCCACAUCCUUCCCACCCCACCCCACCCCCAACCACCAUUUCAGGGCCCUCCCAGCACACACAUUGCCCUGGAAACCAGAAUAAUUCCCCUAACAGCACACUAUUCCCACGGCAUUCAGGAACUCUCGGUGGAGAUGUGUUGGGGACAAUUGUGAUUGUUUUUACAGAUGAGGAAACUAGAAGAGAAAGAGCAAGUGCGUUUGCUGCAGUAAAGAGUUUCCAUAAUAACCUGAAUUGCCACUGUGCCGCCUUUUAAACGAGCCUGGAAAAGUAAGAACCCAAAUUCUCAGGACAGAGAAGUCAGGGGCUUAUGGGUCAUUUCACAAAAGGAGUCAGCAGUGGCUCUAUCUCAAUGGGGCCCUGCCCUGAUGCUCCUGAAAGGACCAAGCUCAGCCUCCAAGGGAAGAGGGGAGGGGACACACUCCCAGCCCCCAGGCCUCCCAUCCUGCAGAACAGGACAGAUAGAGAAGCGGGAGGAGGCAGCACACAGCUUCCGAAGUUCAGGCCCCACACAAGCCAGCGGGCCGAUGCCAGGGGCAGAGGCGGGGCCCGGGAGUCCCAGAUCAACACACAACAGCCCUGAUGCCAGGAGACUGGCAAUGAGAGACAAACAAAACGCUGCCAGAUACCUUUGCAUUUAUUCUAAGUGCAAUGUGCAGACUUAGCUUUACCACCAUAAAAGCCCAAAAAGAGGGUGUCAUAUUCUGGGCAAGCCCUGUAAUUUUCUCUCCUGCAACCUCCCUGGUGACCCACAGGAAGCCAUCUGUGCCCAGCAGGGUGUGGCCUGUCUGCUCUGUACCCACCCCCGUCCCCAGGGAGGCUCCCUCCCUGCUGCCCUCACCAGUUACACUGAGACCCCCA